rnacentral:rRNA from 1 species
GAGAGUUUGAUCCUGGCUAGGAUGAACGCUAGCUACAGGCUUAACACAUGCAAGUCGAGGGGCAGCAUGGUCUUAGCUUGCUAAGGCCGAUGGCGACCGGCGCACGGGUGAGUAACACGUAUCCAACCUGCCGUCUACUCUUGGACAGCCUUCUGAAAGGAAGAUUAAUACAAGAUGGCAUCAUGAGUCCGCAUGUUCACAUGAUUAAAGGUAUUCCGGUAGACGAUGGGGAUGCGUUCCAUUAGAUAGUAGGCGGGGUAACGGCCCACCUAGUCUUCGAUGGAUAGGGGUUCUGAGAGGAAGGUCCCCCACAUUGGAACUGAGACACGGUCCAAACUCCUACGGGAGGCAGCAGUGAGGAAUAUUGGUCAAUGGGCGAGAGCCUGAACCAGCCAAGUAGCGUGAAGGAUGACUGCCCUAUGGGUUGUAAACUUCUUUUAUAAAGGAAUAAAGUCGGGUAUGGAUACCCGUUUGCAUGUACUUUAUGAAUAAGGAUCGGCUAACUCCGUGCCAGCAGCCGCGGUAAUACGGAGGAUCCGAGCGUUAUCCGGAUUUAUUGGGUUUAAAGGGAGCGUAGAUGGAUGUUUAAGUCAGUUGUGAAAGUUUGCGGCUCAACCGUAAAAUUGCAGUUGAUACUGGAUAUCUUGAGUGCAGUUGAGGCAGGCGGAAUUCGUGGUGUAGCGGUGAAAUGCUUAGAUAUCACGAAGAACUCCGAUUGCGAAGGCAGCCUGCUAAGCUGCAACUGACAUUGAGGCUCGAAAGUGUGGGUAUCAAACAGGAUUAGAUACCCUGGUAGUCCACACGGUAAACGAUGAAUACUCGCUGUUUGCGAUAUACUGCAAGCGGCCAAGCGAAAGCGUUAAGUAUUCCACCUGGGGAGUACGCCGGCAACGGUGAAACUCAAAGGAAUUGACGGGGGCCCGCACAAGCGGAGGAACAUGUGGUUUAAUUCGAUGAUACGCGAGGAACCUUACCCGGGCUUAAAUUGCAGAUGAAUUACGGUGAGAGCCGUAAGCCGCAAGGCAUCUGUGAAGGUGCUGCAUGGUUGUCGUCAGCUCGUGCCGUGAGGUGUCGGCUUAAGUGCCAUAACGAGCGCAACCCUUGUUGUCAGUUACUAACAGGUUCUGCUGAGGACUCUGACAAGACUGCCAUCGUAAGAUGUGAGGAAGGUGGGGAUGACGUCAAAUCAGCACGGCCCUUACGUCCGGGGCUACACACGUGUUACAAUGGGGGGUACAGAGGGCCGCUACCACGCGAGUGGAUGCCAAUCCCAAAAACCUCUCUCAGUUCGGACUGGAGUCUGCAACCCGACUCCACGAAGCUGGAUUCGCUAGUAAUCGCGCAUCAGCCACGGCGCGGUGAAUACGUUCCCGGGCCUUGUACACACCGCCCGUCAAGCCAUGGGAGCCGGGGGUACCUGAAGUGCGUAACCGCGAGGAGCGCCCUAGGGUAAAACUGGUGACUGGGGCUAAGUCGUAACAAGGUAGCCA